rnacentral:lncRNA from 1 species
CUCUUGCUAAAAGAAACACUGUUUCCUUUAUAGUUACCAUGUGGAAAUCUGCAAGUGAUGCAUCUUGAUGGAGUUCCCAUACUCCCCCAACUUUUAUUUUAGUUAGAGGCGGUUCUGACCAGUGAGAUAAAAACAAAAGUCUAUUGUAAUUAUUUUGGGAAACUCUUGAUUUCCCAGUAAAUGGAACAUAUAUGAUUGAUGCCCUUCAAAUUCUGGUGUGUCCAGUCAGCAAAAUGAUUUCCAGAAAAACCUGCUGAUUACCCUACAGUGAGAGAGAAUACUUCUUUCAGAGAUUCCCAGCAGUGUUUUUGAAAGGGGAGGUUAGAAGAAGAUAUUUUUAGGGUUUUAGGAUCUGAAAUGGCAAGGCAUAUGACAUGAUAGUUCUGGAUUGAUGAACAUUGUGAGGUGAGAGUCUUGAAGUAAGCAUUGAUAAGCAAGAUUCAGUCUCCAAAGGUUAUCUUAUCAAGGAACAAGUAUUUCCUGAAACAAAUAGUUAACUUAGUUUUGCCUAAUCUCAGUAUUAUUUAGCACAGAAAUGUGAAUAUAUGCUUCAUCUUAGAAUUGGCUAGCACAAAUAAAGGAAAGCAUAUUUAUUCUCAGGAUUGUUUAGUAUAAGGAUAGGAAUGCAUGUCAACUGAGUUCCCACUACCUUUAUGAUGUCAUAUCUGCAACUGCAUCAGAAUGAUGUGAUACACAAGGGGAGGGCCACGAGACAACUAAUCAAAAAUAUUCUGCCACUGAACGAAUUACACUUCUAUAUCUGGAGUUCUUAUGUGAGAAGGAGAAAGCCUAACUUAUUUAAGGUUCAACAGAGUUCAGCAAGUUCUUGUGUUCACUCUAACACAAUAUACACUGUGAAACUGCUUUAUUUCAAAUUAGAUGUGACAGAAUAAUAGGAGUAGAAAUGACUCAACUGGCCUUUGUGACAUGGUUGGUUACUGGAAAAGGGACAAAGUCUGUCUAUUCCAUUGCAUCAUUCUUCUGGAACUUUGAUAAUAGCCAAUUCUACUGCCUUAACAGCAUCAUUGCUUGCAGUUGGUAAGUUUGCCUUAAUAUGACUUUUCUACCAAAUAUUUGCAACAGAUUUCUGUUUACCUGAAGCCUUGCUGUGUUCUUGUUUUUCACACAUUUUGAAUUUUUGAGAUGCCUUCACAGCUCUCUAUGGAUGAAUAACUAAUUCCAAUUGUUAUGCUGUAUUUUGCCUAAACAGAUAGGUCCUUGAGCCUUUUUCAAAUCAAACAUAAAACUACAAACACCCCAAUAGAAAAAUUGACAGAACAGGCAAGUUACAAUAAACAUGAAAGGAUUUAACUUCA